rnacentral:rRNA from 1 species
CGAAGGGCUAGCGUUGUUCGGAAUUACUGGGCGUAAAGCGCACGUAGGCGGAUAUUUAAGUCAGGGGUGAAAUCCCGCAGCUCAACUGCGGAACUGCCUUUGAUACUGGGUAUCUUGAGUAUGGAAGAGGUAAGUGGAAUUCCGAGUGUAGAGGUGAAAUUCGUAGAUAUUCGGAGGAACACCAGUGGCGAAGGCGGCUUACUGGUCCAUUACUGACGCUGAGGUGCGAAAGCGUGGGGAGCAAACAGGAUU